rnacentral:rRNA from 1 species
GACGAACGCUGGCGGCGUGCCUAAUACAUGCAAGUUGAGCGCUGAAGGUUGGUACUUGUACCAACUGGAUGAGCAGCGAACGGGUGAGUAACGCGUGGGGAAUCUGCCUUUGAGCGGGGGACAACAUUUGGAAACGAAUGCUAAUACCGCAUAAAAACUUUAAACACAAGUUUUAAGUUUGAAAGAUGCAAUUGCAUCACUCAAAGAUGAUCCCGCGUUGUAUUAGCUAGUUGGUGAGGUAAAGGCUCACCAAGGCGAUGAUACAUAGCCGACCUGAGAGGGUGAUCGGCCACAUUGGGACUGAGACACGGCCCAAACUCCGGGAGGCAGCAGUAGGGAAUCUUCGGCAAUGGACGAAAGUCUGACCGAGCAACGCCGCGUGAGUGAAGAAGGUUUUCGGAUCGUAAAACUCUGUUGGUAGAGAAGAACGUUGGUGAGAGUGGAAAGCUCAUCAAGUGACGGUAACUACCCAGAAAGGGACGGCUAACUACGUG